rnacentral:rRNA from 1 species
AUUGAACGCUGGCGGCAGGCCUAACACAUGAAAGUCGAGCGGAGCGGCGGAAGGGUGAGUAUUGGUUAGGAAUAUGCAUGGUAGCGGGGGAUAACGUCAGGAAACGGGAGCUAAUACCACAUCCUAUCAGCUGCGCCUAGGUCGGCUUAGCUAGUGGGUGGGGUAAAGGCAUACAAAGGCGACGAUCCGUACCUGGUCUGAGAGGAUGAUCAGUCACACUGGAACUGAGACACGGUCCAGACUCCUACGUGAGGCAUCAGUGGGGAAUAUUGGACAAUGGGCGAAAGCCUGAUCCAGCCAUGCCGCGUGUGUGAAGAAGGUCUUCGGAUUGUAAAGCACUUUAAGUUGGGAGGCGUUACCAACAGAAUAAGCACCGGCUAACUUCGUGCCAGCAGCCGCGGUAAUAC